UACGGAGGGUGCAAGCGUUGUUCGGAAUUACUGGGCGUAAAGCGUGCGUAGGCGGUCUGUUAAGUCAGGCGUGAAAGCCCCGAGCUCAACUUGGGAAUCGCGUUUGAUACUGGCAGGCUAGAGGACUGUAGAGGAGAGUGGAAUUCCUAGUGUAGAGGUGAAAUUCGUAGAUAUUAGGAGGAACACCAGUGGCGAAGGCGGCUCUCUGGGCAGUACCUGACGCUGAUGGACGAAAGCGUGGGGAGCAAACAGG
rnacentral:ncRNA from 2 species